rnacentral:rRNA from 1 species
UUUAAAUUGAGAGUUUGAUCCUGGCUCAGGAUGAACGCUGGCGGCGUGCUUAACACAUGCAAGUCGAGCGAUGAAGUUUCCUUCGGGAAACGGAUUAGCGGCGGACGGGUGAGUAACACGUGGGUAACCUGCCUCAUAGAGUGGAAUAGCCUUCCGAAAGGAAGAUUAAUACCGCAUAAUGUUGAAAGAUGGCAUCAUCAUUCAACCAAAGGAGCAAUCCGCUAUGAGAUGGACCCGCGGCGCAUUAGCUAGUUGGUGGGGUAACGGCCUACCAAGGCGA